AUUGAACGCCGGCGGCAGGCCUAACACAUGCAAGUCGAACGGUAGCACAGAGAGCUUGCUCUUGGGUGACGAGUGGCGGACGGGUGAGUAAUGUCUGGGAAACUGCCCGAUGGUGGGGGAUAACUACUGGAAACGGUAGCUAAUACCGCAUAACGUCUUCGGACCAAAGUGGGGGACCUUCGGGCCUCACACCAUCGGAUGUGCCCAGAUGGGAUUAGCUAGUAGGUCGGGUAAUGGCUCACCUAGGCGACGAUCCCUAGCUGGUCUGAGAGGCUGACCAGCCACCCGGCAACUGCGACACGGGCCAGAUUCCUACGGGAGGCAGCAGUGGGGAAUAUUGCACAAUGGGCGACAGCCUGAUGCAGCCAUGCCGCGUGUAUGAAGAAGGCCUUCGGGUUGUAAAGUACUUGCAGCGGGGAGGAAGGCGAUGGAGUUAAUAGCUUCAUCGAUUGACGUUACACGCAGAAGAAGCACCGGCUAACGCCGUGCCAGCCGCCGCGGUAA
rnacentral:rRNA from 1 species